rnacentral:rRNA from 1 species
GAGUUUGAUCGUGGCUCAGGAUGAACGCCGGCGGUGUGCCUAAUACAUGCAAGUCGUACGCACUGGCCCAACUGAUUGAUGGUGCUUGCACCUGAUUGACGAUGGAUCACCAGUGAGUGGCGGACGGGUGAGUAACACGUAGGUAACCUGCCCCGGAGCGGGGAUAACAUUUGGAAACAGAUGCUAAUACCGCAUAACAACAAAGGCCACAUGGCUUUUGUUUGAAAGAUGGCUUUGGCCAUCACUCUGGGAUGGACCUGCGGUGCAUUAGCUAGUUGGUAAGGUAACGGCUUACCAAGGCGAUGAUGCAUAGCCGAGUUGAGAGACUGAUCGGCCACAAUGGAACUGAGACACGGUCCAUACUCCUACGGGAGGCAGCAGUAGGGAAUCUUCCACAAUGGGCGCAAGCCUGAUGGAGCAACACCGCGUGAGUGAAGAAGGGUUUCGGCUCGUAAAGCUCUGUUGUUGGAGAAGAACGUGCGUGAGA